GAAGAGAAGAACCUGAACAAAGAAGACGAGGACCAAAUUUGACUCGAGAAAUCCGUGCAACACUUAUUGACCAUGUUAUCAACCAUGGACUGACACUGAUGGAAGCUGGACAAAGAGUUCAACCAAAUCUCAGCAGAAAUACUGUUGCGUCAGUAAUUCGGACAUUUCAUCGAGAAAACAGGAUUGAGGGUCGAGGACACCAAGGUGGAAGGGGCCCUAUGUUUACUCGUGCACAAGAGGCCGCAAUUGUGAACAUGGUUUUGGCCAAUAAUUGUAUCAGGCUACGAGAAAUCCAAGCCAAUAUCAUCAAUGAUGACAAUAUUUUCAAUAACAUCCAACGAGUCUCUCUGUCAACAUUAGGUCGAAUCCUAAAGAAAAAUCAAAUAUACAUGAAGCAACUGUAUCGGGUACCAUUUGACAGAAAUUCAGAGAGAGUGAAACAUCUGCGCAAUGAGUAUGUGGAGAGAGUCUUGCAAAUGGAUGCUGCUGAAAUUCAACAUGAAUUUAUAUAUGUGGAUGAGGCUGGAUUUAACCUUGCAAAAACAAGAAGAAGAGGGAGAAAUGUAAUAGGGCACAGGGCAAUCACUAAUGUGCCAGGGCAACGAGGGGGUAACAUCACCCUUUGCGCUGCUAUCACACAAAAUGGGGUCCUCCACCACCAUGCAAAUCUGGGACCCUAUAAUGCAAAUCUGAUACUUGCAUUUCUUGACCGAUUGCUUGAGAUUGUCAAAUUGACAGCUUGUAAAUGUAGUCAGUGUGACCUAUGUAUGUCAAUACAGCUACUGCUAUUAAUACUUAGCUAGUGUUAUUCGGAUGUGCACCAAGUAGUAGGCACACUGUCAAAAUUUCUUCCGGAAUUUUCUAGUGUUUCUCACACUGCCCAUUACUGCAGCUCCUCUGCCUGAAACACUCUGAGCUCUUGGCCUCCUUCAUGAAAA